AUUGAACGCUGGCGGCAGGCCUAACACAUGCAAAUCGAGCGGACGAAGGGAGCUUGCUCCUGGAUUCUGUGGCGGACGGGCGAGUAAUUACUAGGAAGCUACCUGGCCGUGGGGGAUAACGUCCGGACAGGGGAGCUAAUACCGUAUAGGUUCAGAGGUUGAAAGUGGUGGUUCUUCGGACCUAAAGGGACCUGCUGAGACUAGGUCGGAUUAGCUAGUUGGUGGGGUAAGGGCCUACCAAGGCGACGAUCCGUAACAGGUCUGAGAGGAUGAUCAGCGACACUGGAACUGAGACACGGUUCAGACUCCUACGGGAGGCAGCAGUAGGGAAUAUUCCACAAUGGGCGAAAGCCUGAUCCAGCAAUGCCGCGUGUGUGAAGAAGGUCUUCGGAUUGUAAAACACUUUAAGUUGGGAGGAAGAUCAGUAAGUUAAAACCUGGCUGUUUUGACGUUACCAACAGAAAAAGCACCGGCUAACUUCGUG
rnacentral:rRNA from 1 species